rnacentral:tRNA from 1 species
AGCCCCGUAGUGUAGUGGCCAAGCAUAUAAGCCUCUGGAGCUUGUGACGAGAGUUCGAAUCUCUCCGGGGCUA